CUGAAGCCUGCGUUGAGGCAGAAACGGGCGAGGCGCCUCCACAGCACAUCACGGCAAGUGAAACGGAAAAGGCGGCGACAGGUCUGGCCCAGGCGGCCCAAGGCCCUCGCGUCCAGGACUAUCUGACACAAUUACAUGCCUUAUUCUUCAAAGGUAGCUAAGCAACGGCCAAAAGAGAUAACUCAUCUUCCAAGGAAUACAACUGAUUGCACUUCCAGUUUGGCUUAUGAAGGAUAGUGGAUCUUUACAGGGUCUAAUACAUGGGGCUUGGUGAAGAACAGCUUUUUCUAUUUAUUGUUUAAAAUGCCUGCAGCAUUCGUUUCAGACUCCUAGAACUUCUUACAAUAUCAAAAAUAUAUGAUUGCCCUUGUAGAAUUGUAAUUUGAGUUACGUAUUAAUAAUAUGAAAUUAAUUUCCAAUCAUUUUGAUUGGAACAUUCUUUAUAUAGAAAUCAGACAAGAUACAGUACAAAUAAUGGAAAAAAUAAAAAUCAUCAAGCAUUACUACUCUAAUGCAAAAAUCAAUAUUUGUACUUUAAAUAUCCUUCAUGGCAUUUAUACCAUAUACGGUAUUCAAUUGUUUCUUUAAGUAUUUUAAAGAGUACUUAAAUUCUUUUGAGUAUUUUACAAACAAUAGACUAUAUGCUUAAAUUCCAAAAACGAAGCUAUUAUGAUAAACAACCUUAACUUUUUUUCCAAAUAAAGAAUGUCAGCUGA